AGUUAGAAACUCUUUGUUUAUUUAGGAGAUUUUCUAGCAAAGCGGAUAUCCCAUUGUCACUGCUGCUGCCUUCCCAAGCUGCUCCUGCCUGCGCCGCAAGAGCGGAGCCGCCGCCGCCCCGCCCCGCCGGAGACGAUGGAGGCAAGAUCAGAUCUUGGGCCUGGAUUGCUCAUGCCGCCGGCGACCCCCGACAAUGGCCGGCGGCCGCCGUUCGAUUCCUCCACGGAUGGCGCCUCCUCUUGCUCUCCCGCGGUCGCCCCCGCGUCGGCUGAUUUGGGGGUGUUUGAUAAGCACGGCUUCAUCUACCUCAGUUCCCCCAUUGGGGAACAGCCUCGAUCUGUACCCGGCGCCACUGAUGGCUGCGCAGCCACCGUGCAGACCUCCGAUUCCUCCGACGAGAUUGCGCCGCCAGGGGCUGGUUCCGCUCCUAGCGCUGCUGCUGCGACUCCUAUCUUCAUCCCCACCCCGGAGAAAGAGGAGAGCACCCAUUGGAGGCCAAAGAAGAAGUCCACCAAGGGGGUGCCUCGGCUGAAGGUGAUGAAGGAUAAACACCCCAAGCCUGCCCGCACAACGCCGGCUAAGCCUCACAAGACGCCGGUGGCAAAAAAGGACGGCGGGGCUGGAUCUGUUGGAGAUGGCACUGAUAAUAAGCUAUCAAAGCGCAAGUUAGACUUCGAUCUGGAAGUCAUUACGGGGAGUUUCGGCAGGGCCAAGCUGAUGGCCAAUCUGCGGCUCCUUGCAGAGGUUAACAAUAUUUCAAGUGCGACGAAGACGAAGAAAAAGAAAGCAAGUGGCGACUGGGCCAUUGUUCCUUACCAGAAUGCUGCUCCGACUGAUGCGUCCUGCUCUACUUUGGUCCCAUUUGGGGGUUUGGGUGGCCACGGAAAUCACUCGAAUCAAGUGCGGCCCAAGGUGCUAGGCCUUGAUGUUGAGACAUUGCGAGUGUGUGGCGUUCUGACCAAGUGGGAAGAGAUUGACAGUGAAAGUUUCGAAGGGGUUGAUAUCGGCAGCGGGCCUGGAUGGAAUGAAACUCGGCGGGAUUAUAAGAAGCGUGUGGAUUGGUUUAUUGCGACCGUAAAGGAUUUAUUCGGUCCCAGAGAAUAUUCUCGAUGGGGAGGAUCCGUAAUUGAUUCUGUGGUUGGUACUUUCCUGACACAAAAUGUUGCUGACCAUUUAUCAAGCAAUGCUUUUAUGAUCCUGGCAGCAAAAUUUCCUAUGAAUAAGAGGAAGGGUAAUGCUGAAGAAUGUUCAUAUGUACCUCUGUCAACAGUUGACGUCAAAGAAAACUUGAAUUUGACUAAAGCACAUGAUGCUGGUGAUUCUACCAAUUCAGUUUUUACCAAUCCCAUUGAUUGCGAGGAAGUUGGUUACGGUGAGGAGGUAAAAGGAAACUAUGGUCAAGACUACAAAACAAUUAUGGAGAAGUUCCUAGCUAUUAUUAAAGAGAAAGACAUCUCUACCUGGGAGAAGGAUGAUCUUUUGAACUUAGUCAAGGAUAAAUCUGGAAAACCAAUAUGCACUGAAAACACCUUAAGAAAGUUCAUAGCCACGCUGCGGGUGGAAGAUACUGCUCACUGGGAUAAGUUACGGGAUGAAGCAUAUAGAAAAGGAUAUGAUAACGGAAGCAAAACUAGAAUAACUGACAAAGUAAAUUGGGAAGCUGUACAGCAGGCCUCAUUUGUUGACGUUGCAAAGUGCAUUGCAGGCAGGGGACAACAUUACCUUCUCGCAUUGCGGAUACAGGCAUUUCUCACGCGCAUAAAGAAAGAUCAUGGAAGCUUUGACCUGGAUUGGCUUAGAUGUCUACCACGAGAAAGCGCAAAAAAAUACCUACUCAGCAUAAAUGGACUUGGAGCUAAAAGUGUCGACUGCAUACGUCUUUUGUCACUGGAGCAUAAAGCAUUCCCAGUUGAUGUCAACGUAGCUCGCAUAGUCACAAGGCUACAAUGGGUUGAACUGCAAUGCUGUUCUGAGGAGUUUCAUUCGGUUGACCUAUAUCCACUCAUGCAGGAUGUGCAGAAUUACUUAUGGCCUCGACUAUGUACUAUUGACAAAGAAAAAUUGUAUGAACUACACUGUCUCAUGAUAACUUUCGGAAAGGUAAUUUGCACAAAAGUAGAUCCAAAUUGCAAUGCUUGCCCAUUCCGUGGGGACUGCAGGUACUACAAAAGUAAACUUACCAGACCAUUACUUCCUCCUGCAGAGGAGCAUGUGCGUGGUGGUGAAGAGAAAACAAGUAUAGUUACUUCUGAAAGACUGUUGUCAAAUGGUAGCUCCAUACCAAGUCAUCAAAUCGAAGAAAGCAGGACUGCUGGCAGACAACCCUCCCGCAGCUGUGAGCCCAUUAUUGAGAUGCCACCAAGUCCCGAAUAUGAAUAUGAAGCACUUGAUGAGCAAGAAUAUCCCAAUGAAGAUGAUCUUGUUGAUAUUGAAGAUAUUAUGUCAGGAGUACACUACGACGUUGAAAUAAAUCUGUGUUCAAACAAGCCUACGGUGAGCAAUUGCUCUUGGACACCAAAUCGUGGAAAAGAUUUGGCAUUGAGCAAUUCACAACAUACAAGCAGGAAAAUGAAACACAUAGGGCGUCUUAGGACAGAGCACCUUGCGUAUGUGCUCCCAGACGGUCAUCCAUUGUUGGAAGAGUUUGAAGAGCGAGUUCCAGAAGAUCCAUCUCCUUAUCUCCUGGUUCUUCAUCCUUGUCCUGACAAUCCUCCUCCUGGUGCUGUCCAGAACUGCAUGGUGAAGGGCACAAUUCUGAUACCCUGUCGAACAGCAUCCACAGGAAACUUCCCAUUGAACGGUACCUACUUUCAGGAUCAUGAGGUCUUUGCAGAUGACUCAUCUAGCCGUCUUCCAAUAGUCUUCUCUAGUGAGUGUCUCAACGAUCUGGGGAAAUGCAUUGUAUAUUUUGGCUCAUCAAUACACUCUAUCACAAAAGGUCAAACAAGACAAGACAUUGAAGACUGCUACAAGAAAGAUAUUGAAAAGGAUGGACGCUUUUGCUCUCAUAAAAUGCCUAACAUGGACCAUUGUGAGAAAAAAAAAAUCCUGCAAAAUCACAAGUGAAAUCAGCGCCCCGCUGACAGUUUUGGGGAUGAAAGUUGCUUUGCAGAAUCACAAGGAUAUGUGUGCAUAAGAGGGUUCGACCGGCGGACGAGAUCCCCGAGGCGACUACGCGCCGCAUUACAUUCCAUCAACGAAAAGAAAGAGGACGGCAGCAAACAUAAGGAAAGCGCGGGGCUGGGGAAGAGCAAUGAGCAGAAGGCGCCUUCGACAAAUUAGGAAUCACGUAACAUCUACUCCCUCUGAGUAUAAAGUUAGUACAAAGUUGAGUCAUCUAUUUUGGAACGGAGGGAGUAAAAUCUAAUCUGGGGCAUGGAGUAGAUUCGAUGUUGCCUGACACCGAUGGUAGCUGGGGUGAAGCUAAUGUGGUUAGUGUAGUUCUCUGGUUGUCUUAGUAUAGGGCUAGUGAGAAAUGUAGCUGGAUGGAGCGGUUAGAGCGAUUGCAGAUGUAAAUCAUGAUUUGUAUUUUUUUUAUUAGGAAGAGUAAAUAAUUGGGGAGCCCUUGCCAGUCA